AUUGAACGCUGGCGGCAUGCCUUACACAUGCAAGUCGAACGGCAGCGGACCUUCGGGUGCCGGCGAGUGGCGAACGGGUGAGUAAUAUAUCGGAACGUACCUUUCAGUGGGGGAUAACGUAGCGAAAGUUACGCUAAUACCGCAUAUUCUGUGAGCAGGAAAGCAGGGGAUCGCAAGACCUUGCGCUGAUUGAGCGGCCGAUAUCAGAUUAGCUAGUUGGUGAGGUAAAGGCUCACCAAGGCGACGAUCUGUAGCGGGUCUGAGAGGAUGAUCCGCCACACUGGAACUGAGACACGGUCCAGACUCCUACGGGAGGCAGCAGUGGGGAAUUUUGGACAAGGGUGGCGCAAGCCUGAUCCAGCCAUGCCGCGUGAGUGAAGAAGGCC
rnacentral:rRNA from 1 species